AGAGGCACGGCCCCGGAAGUCCGAGCCUGGGAUUGCAGGCUGGGCUCUGACGUCACUGCCGCCCGGAGAGGCUGGGGAUGGAGUCCCCACCUCCCUCACCCUCCACCUCUGCCGUCCCACGACCAGUGCGGGAAAGAGGGUCCCCACGUGCCUCUGAGAACCCUUGGGCUUCCCCGGUGGUGCAGUGGUUAAGAAUCCGCCUGCUAAUGCAGGGGACGUGGGUUCGAGCCCUGGUCUGGGAGGAUCCCACAUGCCACGGAGCAACUGGGCCCGUGAGCCACAACUACUGAGCCUGCGCGUCUGGAGCCUGUGCUCCGCAACAAGAGAGGCCGCGACAGUGAGAGGCCCGCGCACCGCGAUGAGGAGUGGCCCCCGCUUGCCACAACUAGAGAAAUCCCUAGCACAGAAACGAAGACCCAACACAGCCAUAAAUAAACUUUGUCCCCACAGCACCCAAGAGCCAGUCAGCGGAGAUGCAGAGCCGCGGCAAAGAGCACUACAGCGGCCAGCCCCCUGCUGGGCAGUUCCAAGCACGGUGACCACGGAGCACCUCCGCUUCCUCACCUGCUCAGAGACCAGCACACAGCAGACGCUUAAGCAAGGAAAGGAAACCUCUUCCUGGUGACCGGACUGUGGGGGUGCUUCUCCAGCCUGGCUGUAGGAAGACGUCGUGCAAACACAGACCAGACACCGUCUGAGGCCAGCAGCUGGGCAGGAUGCCCACACCUUCUUCCCUCCCAUCCCCACAAAGGGCUCUUGUGUCCCCCUGGCUGGGCCGGUGUCACCGCUUUCUGAGCAGUGUUGUCUCUGCUGCCUCUGGCGCCUGUGGGCCAGCCAGGCAGGGGUGGGGCAGGCACCGUCAGCAGAGCUGUCACCGUCAUCGUGGCUGCAGACGGAGAGGUGAGGGUCCUGCAGAGGCGCCACCAGGCCGCCAGGCCUCCCGCCUCCCCGAGGGCAUCCCUGGGAGCAGGGCGUCUUCCUGGAAAUGCCCACUCUCUCCGGGAGGAUGUUUGCCUGGCCCCAGACCUGGGUUCCUCAAGUGCAGCUCUCCCGACCUCAGGCUGCGAGCACGCCCUGGGGACUGGCCGGAUGCCCGUGGUUCCUCGCCAUCCUGGGGAGGACCAAUCAUCCCAAACCCCUCUGCUUUCCACUCCUAACAUGGUCACUAGCGUGACUCUGAACACCCGCCCACCCAGCGCUCCAGACAGAACCAGCACACUGGUCCUGAGGCCCCUGCUAUGGACGAAGGAACCUUCUGGAAGGACAAUUUCACCGCAGACCACCUGGACAGAACGCAAGGCAGCCGGUUUCCUCUUCCACACUCUUCUUAGCACACGACGGUUCUGCUGCCACCUUUGGACUCACAAAGUUAGCCCUGGAGGGGCUGCAGCCCCCAGCCCGGGAGCCCCGCCCCGAGGGACGGUGGAAGCACUUGGGACUGCAGGCUGGUCACUUGAGCUCUCGAGCAGCAGUGUCCUCACCUGGAAAAUGGGGACGAUCCCUACCUCUGGCAUCAGAUGUACACGGCCUGCAGUUUCUCCCCAGUGGCAGGCCAGUGCGCUCUGGAGCCGGGGAACCUGAGUCUGCAUCCCAGCCCCUGACUGUGGGCUGCCUGACCCGAGAGCCCACUUCCUCGCUGUGGCCACCACCCCCAGGGCUGGUGGAAGAGAAAGGCAGGCAGGGGAACGCCGGCUGUGAGGUGCCACCUGGACACCGGUCCCCAGGCCAGCCCUGCACACGUCUCCUCCUGGCUUCCCUUUCAAUGUCCCACGCCAGCCAGCGCCCACAUGCCCACGAUUUCCCCGGAAACACACACGUAGUCACUGUCCCCUUAGCCUUUUCCCUCUGGGCACUGGAAACACAGGUUGAAAUCUGCCCACUCUGGGUGCAGAGUGCCCGCUGUCAGAGGAGCCCUGGACCAGCCACCAGGCCACCCGCUGCAAUAGGUGGAAUCUUCUGGCCCCUGGCUGGGCUCGCAGAGAUCAUACGGGAAUGGGUCCUGUGCAUUUCCUUGCUUGGGCUUCCGAGCCACAGAAACUGAUUUCCUCGCAGCCCUGGAGGCUGGAAGUCCCAAGAUCAAGGCGUGGGCAGGGCUGAUUUCUUCUGAGGCCUCUCUCCCUGGCUUGUGGACGGCCGUCUUCUCCCUGGGUCCUCACGUGGUUACCCCUCUGUGUGUGUCCGUGUGCUGAUCCCUGCUUCUCAUUAGGACACCAGUCUUACUGGAUCAGGACCCAUGUGUAUGACCUCAUUUUACCUUAAUCGCCUCUUUAAAGGCCCGUCUUCAAGAACAGUCACGUUCUGAGGUGCUGGGGGUAGGACUUUGGCAUAUGGAUUUGGGGGGACACAGUUCAGCCAUAACAUCUUGUGUGGUCAUUACUGUGGGGAAGAAGGACAUCAAAUCCAAGGUGCAGUAGCACUGUGGUCACAAGGGAAACCCCCGGACUCCACGUCCUCCCUGCUGAGCUCCCCCAAUUCAGAAGAUGCCGAGAAUGCUCCUCCCCUGGGGUUGCUCUUCCCACCUGGACCUCCCUUCUGCUCUUCCCUUCCUGUAAGUUCUCGUGGAAGGUCAGCAUCCGCUCGCUGAAUGACCAAGCCUGAGCACGACCACUGCUGCUUCCCUGGCCAAGUCGAGUUCGUGUUCACAAAGCCUUUAUCCAGCAUUCUGUCAUUUGA